rnacentral:rRNA from 13 species
UCUUGGCUCUCGCAACGAUGAAGACCGCAGCGAAAUGCGAUACGUAAUGUGAAUUGCAGAAUUCCGUGAAUCAUCGAAUCUUUGAACGCACCUUGCGCUUCUUGGCAUUCCAGGAAGCAUGCCUGUUUGAGUC